rnacentral:lncRNA from 1 species
AAGUGCCUGAGGCUCCCAAAGAAGUUGUUCCUGAAAAGAAAGUGCCAGUGCCUCCUCCUAAAAAGCCUGAAGUGCCACCCACAAAAGUCCCAGAGGUGCCAAAGGCAGCUGUCCCAGAAAAGAAGGUGCCUGAAGCUAUUCCUCCCAAACCGGAAAGUCCUCCCCCUGAAGUGCCUGAAGUGCUGCCACCGAAGGAAGUGGUCCCAGAAAAGAAAGUACCGGUGCCUCCUGCCAAAAAGCCAGAAGCUCCACCUCCUAAAGUACCAGAGGCUCCCAAAGAGGUUGUUCCUGAAAAGAAAGUGCCCUCGGCUCCUCCUAAAAAGCCUGAAGUCCCACCUGUUAAAGUGCCAGAGGCUCCGAAAGAAGUUGUUCCUGAAAAGAAAGUGCCAGCGGCUCCUCCUAAAAAGCCUGAAGUCACACCUGUUAAAGUGCCUGAGGCUCCCAAAGAAGUUGUUCCUGAAAAGAAAGUGCCAGUGCCUCCUCCUAAAAAGCCUGAAGUGCCACCCACAAAAGUCCCAGAGGUGCCAAAGGUAGCUGUCCCAGAAAAGAAGGUGCCUGAAGCUAUUCCUCCCAAACCGGAAAGUCCUCCCCCUGAAGUGUUCGAGGAGCCUGAGGAAGUUGCCCUAGAAGAGCCUCCUGCUGAAGUUGUGGAAGAGCCAGAGCCAGCGGCGCCUCCACAAGUGACCGUACCACCUAAGAAACCUGUCCCAGAAAAGAAAGCACCUGCUGUCGUUGCCAAAAAACCUGAACUACCACCAGUGAAAGUGCCCGAGGUGCCCAAGGAGGUUGUUCCUGAAAAGAAGGUGCCUCUGGUGGUUCCCAAAAAGCCAGAAGCCCCACCUGCUAAAGUGCCUGAAGUUCCAAAAGAAGUUGUUCCAGAAAAGAAAGUAGCUGUUCCCAAAAAGCCAGAAGUCCCACCAGCAAAAGUGCCAGAAGUGCCAAAGAAACCUGUCUUGGAAGAGAAACCAGCUGUUCCUGUUCCAGAAAGAGCGGAGUCUCCUCCCCCAGAAGUAUAUGAAGAACCUGAGGAAAUUGCUCCUGAAGAGGAAAUUGCUCCUGAAGAGGAAAAGCCAGUUCCUGUUGCAGAAGAGGAGGAACCAGAGGUUCCACCUCCAGCAGAGCCCAAGAAGAUCAUCCCAGAGAAGAAAGUUCCUGUCAUCAAAAAACCAGAAGCACCGCCUCCUAAAGAACCUGAACCUGAAAAGGUUAUUGAGAAGCCAAAACUCAAACCAAGACCCCCACCUCCUCCACCUGCUCCACCUAAGGAAGAUGUGAAGGAGAAAAUAUUCCAACUUAAAGCUAUUCC